GGAUUUUUAAUCUAGAAUUUGUCUUCACUGUAAGAAAUCUAAACAGCUACACAAGGCUAGCAGUCUUCCGGUUGGACAGCCCAGCCUGGAACAAGAGUUUGCCUUCAAGAUCUGAAUGGGCCGUCAGUAGAGGUGGAGCCUUGGAAGAGUGAGUUUGUCCCCUCUCGUGCUCCUCUGCCGCGUGAAGCAAUAUUUGUCCCCACCUGACCCCGCCUUCUCCACCGUGAGGAUGCAGCAAGACCCUCGCCGGACACUGGGUAGAAGGGUCUUGAUCUUGGGCUCCCAGCCUCCAGAACUGUGAGGAAAUAAAUUUCUGAUCUUAAUAAAUGACACGUCAGGGGUAUUCUGUAACAGCACAAAAUGGACUAAAACGUGAAGAUACGCUGUUGUUCUUCUAGAAGCACUAUUUUAAACUUUCUUAUUUAGGACUGUAAACUAUCUCAAAUUAAUGCUUUGUUUAUUUUAGGUAGGGGUGAAGAUACAUUUUUUCCGAUAGUAAUUGCUCUAGCACUGUUUCCUGAAUUGCAGUGAGAUCUCUGAAAUAAAUCAAGUGCCCUUCUCUCUGUGGUUACUAUCUCAAUAGUCUACUGUCUUAUUGUUGUAGCUAUCUAAUCCUGUACCAAUACAAAUUUAUCUUUAGAAUGAGUAUUGAAAUAUCAUGAUGUAAAUUUUAAACUUUAUUCUUUAUCAAUAUUAUUUUGGCUGUUCUUAGUCCUGUGCAUUUCCACUGUAUUUCAAGACCCAAACUGGCUGAUUUGUUCAAGGAAAAUUGGAAGAAUUCACCUGUAUUUUCUUGACUCUACAAAUAUAUGGGUGAUUCAACCUCUUAAAUACCAAGUCUUCCAAUUCACAAGCAUGAUGUAUCUCUCCAUUUCUUUGAGUCUUUAUUAGUUUCUCUAAUUAAUGUUUUAUAAAUUUUAGUGGCAAGAAUUUAUAUUUUUUUUCAAGUUUGAGAUAUAAUUAAAAUAUCAUAAAUUUUUUUUCAUUGAAAGUAUUCACUGUUUUUUAGAAUAUUCAUAGUCAGGGACCCAUUCCCACAAUCCAAUUGUAAAACAUAUUCAUCAUGUAGGUAAGAAACCCCAUAUCCAUCAGCAGUCCUUCUCAGCUCGUGUUCCAUAUUCCCAAGCCUAAGCCAUCUACUCAUCUAUUUCCAUAGAACUGACAGUUUUGGUUAUUUGGUUAUUUCAUAUGGAUGGAUCCAUACAACAUUGAUGGGGGAGUUGUGAUUGGCUUUUUUCACCAAACAUAUUUUCUUUUUUUUAAACUUUUAUUUAAUAAAUAUAAUUUUUUAAAGAUUUAUUUAUUUAUUUGAAAGAGUUACACAGAGAGAGAAGCAGAGGCAGAGAGACAGAGAGAGAGAGAGGUCUUCCACUCCCUAUUUGGCCGCAACGGCCGGAGCUGCACUGAUCCAAAGCCAGGAGCCAGGAGCUUCCUCUGGGUCUCCCACAUGGGUGCAGGGGCCCAAGGACUUGGGCCAUCUUCUACUGCUUUCCCAGGCCAUAGCAGAGAGCUGGAUUGGAAGUGAAGCAGCUGGGACUCGAACCGGUACCCAUAUGGGAUGCCGGCACUGCAGGUGGCGGCUUUACCCGCUACACCACAGCGCCAGCCCCAGUAAAUAUAAAUUUUGAAAGUACAGCUUUUGGAUUCAUGGAACAUAUUUUCAAGAUUUAUCCAUGCUGUAGCAUGAACCAAUUCUUCAUUCCUUUUUGUUACUUAAUACUAUUCUGUUCUUUAAUACUAUUCUAUUGUAUGAAUAUACCACACUUGAAGUUGAUGGAGACUUGAGCUCUUUCCACUUUUUGGCUGUUAUGAGCAAUACUGCUAAGAGCAUUAUAAAAACUUGUGAAGACGGUUUCAAUUUUCUUGAGUAUAUACCUAUAACUAGAAUUGCUGAGUCAGCUUAACUUUUGGAAGACUGCUAAACGUUUCUACUGUGGCUGUAUCAUUUUACAAGCCACCAGCAAUGUGUGAGGGUUCCAGUUUUUUUCAUAUCUUCAACUAUAUUUGUUGUUUUUUAUUCUAGCCAAUCUAGUAAGGGUAAAAUUCUGUUGUGGCUUUGAUCCAAAUUUCCCUAAUGACCAAUUUCAUUACACAUUUUAUAUGUUUAAUAGACAUAUCUUGAAGUAAUUUCUGAGUAUUUUACCCAUUUUUUUAUUUAUUUAUUUAUUUUUUUUUGACAGGCAGAGUGGACAGUGAGAGAGAGAGACAGAGAGAAAGGUCUUCCUUUGCCGUUGGUUCACCCUCCAAUGGCCACCGCGGCCGGCGCACCGCGCUGAUCCAAUGGCGGGAGCCAGGAGCCAGGUGCUUUUUCCUGGUCUCCCAUGGGGUGCAGGGCCCAAGCACCUGGGCCGUCCUCCACUGCACUCCCGGGCCACAGCAGAGAGCUGGCCUGGAAGAGGGGCAACCGGGACAGAAUCCGGCGCCCCGACCGGGACUAGAACCCGGUGUGCCGGCGCCGCUAGGCGGAGGAUUAGCCCAGUGAGCCGCGGCGCCGGCCUAUUUUACCCAUUUUUAAUUCAGUUCUUUUAUUGUUGAGGUGUAAGAGUUCCUCAAUAUUUUAUAAUAUUUGCUUUAUGAAUAUUUUCUCCAGUUCUGAAUUCCCUUUUUUUUAAUUUACUUGAGAAUGGGGCUGGUGCUGAGGUGCAGUGGGUUAAGCUGCUGCUUGUGACACCAGCAUCCCCUGUCAGAGCGCCAGUUCAAGUCCCAGAUGCUCUGCUUUCGAUCCAGCUCCCUGCUCACACUGCUGGGAAGGCAGGGGAAGAUGGCAUGAAUACUCAGGCCCCUGCCACACUCAUGUGGGAGACCUGGAUGGAAUUUCUGGCUGUUGGCUUCAGGCUGGCCCAGCUCUGAAGGUUGCAGCCAUUUGGGGAGUGAACCGCAGAUGGAAGAUAGCUCCUCCAACUCCCCAUCACUCUGCCUUUCAAAUAAAUAAAAUCUUAAUUUGUUUGUGAGAGAGAACAAACUCUCCCAUUUGCUGGUUACUCACCAAAUGCCCACAAUGGCCAGGUAUAUUAUUUCAAUCCUGUUGGCAUUUGUUCUAUUAUCAAACAUAGGCUCAAUUUGGUAAUCAACAGUCUGUGUUCAUUUGAGAAGAAUAUAUAGUCUGUCAAAGAGGCUAUUAUGUCUUUCACAUAUUAGGUAAUUUCGUAUGCUUACAUACAACUGUGAGUUCAUGUGAGUCAUCUUAAAAUCACUUAUCUAUUAUAGUGGGUUUGUCUAUUUGUCCUUUUUAAUUUUGUUAGUCUUUGCUUUAUGUAUUAUAAAAUUAUGUUAUUAAAUGAGUAUACAUUAGGAUUGUUAAAUUUCCAUGUUGGAUUUAUAUUUUAUUGUCAUGUCCCUAUUUAUCCUAAUGACUAGUUCCUCGAAGUCUACUUUAUCAGUUACCAAAGUAGGUAUCCUAGCAUUUUUAGAGUUAGUAUUUGCAUGUUUUUUCUCCUAUCCUAUUUUUAAUCCUUCUCUGUCUUUUUAAGGUUCCUCUCUUGGAUUUUACCCCCUAAAAUCUGGUUUGACAGUAUUCAUAUUUUACUUCAAGUCUUUAGACAUUCAUACUUAAGAUACCUGCACAUAUAGUUGGUGUAGUUUAAUGUUUGUAAAAAUUGCCGGCCAGCAUUGCGGCUCACUUGGCUAAUCCUCUGCCUGCGGUGUCGGCACCCCGGGUUCUAGUCCUGGUUGGGGCGCCGGAUUCUGUCCUGGUUGCCCCUCUUCCAGUCCAGCUCUCUGCUGUGGCCCGGGAAUGUAGUGGAGGAUGGCCCAGGUCUUGGGCCCUGCACCUGCAUGGGAGACCGGGAGGAAGCACCUGGCUUCUGGCUUCGGAUCGGCGCAGUGCGCUGGCCGUAGUGGCCAUUUGGGGGGUGAACCAAUGGAAGGAAGACCUUUCUCUCUCUCUCUCUCUCUCUCACUGUCUAACUGUCAAAAAAAAAUUGCCACAAUAAUUUUUGCCUUUUCUACAUAUACUUCUCUGCGUGACUUUGCUGGUUCUCCAGCAAGAAGCAGCACUUAUUUCUCUGUCUCUUGAAUCUGGACUUGGCCAUACUACUUACCUUGCCAUUAGAAAAUCAGCAAAUGUGACACAGCAGUGACUUGAAAAAUUAAUAAGAUACUGGAAUUUGGCCUUCCCCCUUAUUUUGUAAUCAGUGUGAAUGAAAUUGGUGAGAACAAGCCUGCUCUGUCAUGCCAGAAUGGGGCAUUGAUAAAGAACCAAGAUAUAUUUUGGUAGCCAGCCUGCCUACCAUGAGAUCUGUGAGCACGUUUAUUCCAGACCACCCCUGAAACCGCCAGUUACAUGCUAUUUCUUGAGUGAGUCACCUGAGAUCAGAGACAGAACUGCCCAGCUGUCCAAGAAUGUUGGUGUAAUACAUGCUUUAAGCCACUACGUUUUGGAGUCAUUUCCUAUGUAGCAAAGGCUGAUAGUUUAAGUCUGCCAUACUGCUAUUUGUUUUCUAUCACUCUAUAUGGAAUUGAUUUCAGCCUUAUCCUAUUGUUGUUUUUAUGGUUAUACAUCUUUUUAGUGGCUACCAUAGAGAUUAUAAUAUAUAUCUUUAAAAUCUAUCUUACAUUUUAACCAUUUCCUGAACAAGUCCAGGUACUUAAAAAUGCUUAAUUUCAUUUACCCUCUUCUGACCUUGUGCUGUUAUUAUCAUAUAUUUUACCCCUAUAUAUGUUAUCGCCCCUGGUGACAAUUCAUGGUAAAUAUUUUAUACAAUGUUCAUUUAUAUUUUUGCACAGAUUUAUUUAUUUAUUUAUUUUUAAAGAUUUAUUUAUUUACUUGAAAGAGAGGGGAGAGACAGAGAGAGAGGUCUUCCAUCCGAUGGUUCACUCUCCACAUGGUCGCAACAGCUGGAGCUGUGCCAAUCCGAAGCCAGGAGCCAGGAGCUUCUUCUGGGUCUCCCACGUGGGUGCAGGGGCCCAAGCACUUGGACCAUCUUCUACUGCUUUCCCAGGCCAUAGCAGAGCUGGACAGGAAGUGGAACAGCUGGGUCUUGAACCAGCGCCCAUAUGGGAUGCCGGCGCUUCAGGCCAGGGCGUUAACCCACUGCGCCACAUGGCUGGCCCCGAUCCUUGUCAUUCUUUACAAAAGUUCACAUAUGAUUAUAAAGGUCUACUGAUUGUAUGUGGAGCAUAACUGGAGACUUUCUCAACAUCAUUUGUUAGAAACAUUGUAUUCUCAAGUCUUGGCUACAGAAUAUCCCAUUAAAAAGAACUAAAAGAUAAAUGGCUGAUUUCCAAGGCCAGGGAAUAAAUUAAAGAAAAAUCUGUACCAUCUUUUUGUUCUGAAAACUAUGGAAAUACUAAAAAUUUAUGAAACUAUUUUAAAAAGAGAUGAUAGCUAGAAGGAACUUCCAUGAGCCAAAUUUGGGAUAAUUUGAGUAUAAAAUAACUGUAUUGGAUAGCCAUUUAAUAAAAUAAUCCAUAUAUCCAUACUUAAUUACUGACUAAAUAAAUAAAUGGACAGAAAAGUUCCUUAAAUUUUAAAAGAAGAAAAAUUAGAAAAGUCACUAUUUUGUAGAUACCAAGUAAUAAUUGAUUCAGAAAGGUAUCAUCAAUGAAUGUCAAAAGUAGAAAAAGUAAUAAAAGAAUAAAAUAUUAUAUAGACUCUUAAUAGAGUCUAUGAGAAUCUUCUCACUAUUUAAAAAUUAAACACGUAUUAUUAAACCUGUAAAAUACCGUGUUAACCAAGAAUCAACAAUAACGUCACCAAUAAUGGGGCAAAUGAACAUUGGUUUGCUGCAUAAAUAACAUACUGAGAAAGACUCAUCAUGGCCGGCGCCGUGGCUCAAUAGUCUAAUCCUCCACCUAGCAGCGCCGGCACACCAGGUUCUAGUCCUGGUCAGGAUGCUGGAUUCUGUCCUGGUUGCCCCUCUUCCAGGCCAGCUCUCUGCUAUGGCCCGGGAGUGCAGUGGAGGAUGGUCCAAGUGCUUGGGCCCUGCACCCCAUGGGAGACCAGGAGAAGCACCUGGCUCCUGGCUUCGGAUCAGCGUGGUGCGCCGGCCGCGGCGGCCAUUGGAGGGUGACCCAACGGCAAAAGGAAGACCUUUCUCUCUGUCUCUCUCUCUCACUGUCCACUCUGCCU